rnacentral:sRNA from 2 species
AGCCUCUAUUCGUUGUGUUCUGCUCCUACGGUAGUUACAUGUACGCUCUUGUUCCCUUUGUGCUGUUACCUGACAAUCGCAAGCCAUCUUUAUCUUCAUCCUCCGUCUAAAGCCGGCAGCCGUUGACUACGUGGGAAUUGGGACUCUUUGGCUCUCGCCGCUUACAUCCUCAUUUAUCUCGCCCAUCCAUCAUCCAAGGGUUAUUCUAUCUAGUCCCUGCGCGUCUCGGUGCAAAAAUAGAACGGGUUACUAUUUUUACCACGGGGCACUGAUGUAUACGGCUGUACGGUAACAAUGGACAUUUAUUACUGACUC